rnacentral:rRNA from 1 species
AGAGUUUGAUCCUGGCUCAGAUUGAACGCUGGCGGCAGGCCUAACACAUGCAAGUCGAACGGUAACAGAAAGCAGCUUGCUGCUUUGCUGACGAGUGGCGGACGGGUGAGUAAUGUCUGGGAAACUGCCUGAUGGAGGGGGAUAACUACUGGAAACGGUAGCUAAUACCGCAUAACGUCGCAAGACCAAAGAGGGGGACCUUCGGGCCUCUUGCCAUCGGAUGUGCCCAGAUGGGAUUAGCUAGUAGGUGGGGUAACGGCUCACCUAGGCGACGAUCCCUAGCUGGUCUGAGAGGAUGACCAGCCACACUGGAACUGAGACACGGUCCAGACUCCUACGGGAGGCAGCAGUGGGGAAUAUUGCACAAUGGGCGCAAGCCUGAUGCAGCCAUGCCGCGUGUGUGAAGAAGGCCUUCGGGUUGUAAAGCACUUUCAGCGGGGAGGAAGGCGUUAAGGUUAAUAACCUUGGCGAUUGACGUUACCCGCAGAAGAAGCACCGGCUAACUCCGUGCCAGCAGCCGCAGUAAUACGGAGGGUGCAAGCGUUAAUCGGAAUUACUGGGCGUAAAGCGCACGCAGGCGGUCUGUCGAGUCGGAUGUGAAAUCCCCGGGCUCAACCUGGGAACUGCAUUCGAAACUGGCAGGCUAGAGUCUUGUAGAGGGGGGUAGAAUUCCAGGUGUAGCGGUGAAAUGCGUAGAGAUCUGGAGGAAUACCGGUGGCGAAGGCGGCCCCCUGGACAAAGACUGACGCUCAGGUGCGAAAGCGUGGGGAGCAAACAGGAUUAGAUACCCUGGUAGUCCACGCCGUAAACGAUGUCGAUUUGGAGGUUGUGCCCUUGAGGCGUGGCUUCCGGAGCUAACGCGUUAAAUCGACCGCCUGGGGAGUACGGCCGCAAGGUUAAAACUCAAAUGAAUUGACGGGGGCCCGCACAAGCGGUGGAGCAUGUGGUUUAAUUCGAUGCAACGCGAAGAACCUUACCUGGUCUUGACAUCCACGGAAGUUUUCAGAGAUGCUUUGGUGCCUUCGGGAACUGUGAGACAGGUGCUGCAUGGCUGUCGUCAGCUCGUGUUGUGAAAUGUUGGGUUAAGUCCCGCAACGAGCGCAACCCUUAUCCUUUGUUGCCAGCGGUUAGGCCGGGAACUCAAAGGAGACUGCCAGUGAUAAACUGGAGGAAGGUGGGGAUGACGUCAAGUCAUCAUGGCCCUUACGACCAGGGCUACACACGUGCUACAAUGGCAUAUACAAAGAGAAGCGACCUCGCGAGAGCAAGCGGACCUCAUAAAGUAUGUCGUAGUCCGGAUUGGAGUCUGCAACUCGACUCCAUGAAGUCGGAAUCGCUAGUAAUCGUAGAUCAGAAUGCUACGGUGAAUACGUUCCCGGGCCUUGCACUCACCGCCCGUCA